rnacentral:rRNA from 1 species
GACGAACCGUGCAAACGUUGUUCGGAAUCACUGGGCUUAAAGGGCGCGUAGGCGGGUCUCCAAGUCUGUGGUGAAAUCCCCCGGCUCAACCGGGGAAGUGCCGUGGAUACUGGAGACCUCGAGGAGGGUAGGGGCAUCUGGAACAGUAGGUGGAGCGGUGAAAUGCGUUGAUAUCUACUGGAACUCCGGUGGCGAAGGCAGCUCACUAAGGAGUAACUGACGCUGAGGCACGAAAGCGUGGGUAGCAAACAGG